rnacentral:ncRNA from 2 species
CGCUUCCGAGGAGCGUUGCGACGGUUUCAGCAUCAGCGAAGCCGCCAGGCUCGGAGCAUUCAAUCCGGACGGUUCGAAGGCGUGACAAACGCUCAUUGACCGGCCGCAUCGAACGGCGCUCACGUCAA